CACAUACUCCCUCCGUUCCAAAUUACUCGUCUCAGAAAUGGAUGUAUCUAGAACUAAAAUACAUCUAGAUACAUCUAGAUACAUCCAUACUUGCGACAAGUAAUUCGGAACGGAGGGAGUAUAUG
rnacentral:pre_miRNA from 1 species